rnacentral:tRNA from 1 species
GGCUGUAGUUCAGUGGUAGAACAUCAGACUUCCAAUCUGAUUAUGCGGGUUCGAUUCCCGUCAGCC